rnacentral:rRNA from 1 species
UACGUAGGGUGCAAGCGUUAAUCGGAAUUACUGGGCGUAAAGCGUGCGCAGGCGGUUUUGUAAGACAGUGGUGAAAUCCCCGGGCUCAACCUGGGAACUGCCAUUGUGACUGCAAGGCUAGAGUGCGGCAGAGGGGGAUGGAAUUCCGCGUGUAGCAGUGAAAUGCGUAGAUAUGCGGAGGAACACCGAUGGCGAAGGCAAUCCCCUGGGCCUGCACUGACGCUCAUGCACGAAAGCGUGGGGAGCAAACAGGAU